rnacentral:rRNA from 1 species
GGAAGGGAGUAAAGUUAAUACCUUUGCUCAUUGACGUUACCCGCAGAAGAAGCACCGGCUAACUCCGUGCCAGCAGCCGCGGUAAUACGGAGGGUGCAAGCGUUAAUCGGAAUUACUGGGCGUAAAGCGCACGCAGGCGGUUUGUUAAGUCAGAUGUGAAAUCCCCGGGCUCAACCUGGGAACUGCAUCUGAUACUGGCAAGCUUGAGUCUCGUAGAGGGGGGUAGAAUUCCAGGUGUAGCGGUGAAAUGCGUACAGAUCUGGAGGAAUACCGGUGGCCAAGGGGGCCCCCUGGACAAAGACUGACG